CAUUCUUAAGAAUAUUUUACAUAAUACUUUCGGAUAAAAAAAUCUUUUUUACAUUAUUAGACGGAGUAUAUUAAGGAGGGAUAAUAUUUUCGCUAACAAAUUUGCAUUGUUUUAAUAGAUCCAGCACCUAAAGAAUAAUACUCUCGGAUCAGCCCUUUUUAAUUCUGAUGUUUGGCCAUUAUUCAGGUGUACGAGAUUGGUUUUCUAUUAUCUGAUUAAAACGCAUUCGCCAUUUAUUUAAAAAACCGGACUGGUACACAUAUGAUAUGACUUCU